AGCUCAAUCAUGAUACUAUAGUGGAAUAACUUCGUGAGUAAAUGAGUUUAUAAUUAAUAGGCAAAAAGCUAUGUCACACCUGGUCUUCUCUAAGUCCCGAUUUUAGAGGAGAGUUAGGAGUUAAUUGAAUAAAAUGGUAAGUUGGUGGGGUUUACUGGAAAACUUGAGAAAAUUUGUGACUGGUUGGUAAUUAGUUAAGUUUCAAUUCUAGUUCGAUUGAGUUGGAAUCGACUAGUUUCAUAGGGGAGACAAAAUGAUUAUUGAUUGGUAGCUUAAUUGAGGCUUGGUGGCCGUGCAAGACGAGUUAUAUAUUUGGGUGAGAAGCCUUAUUCAACAGAUGGAAAAUUCUUCUCAAUUUAUGUUUACAUUUUCUUUCCUUAUGCAUCAUCUUCUUCGGUUUCUCUGAAGAAAAAAAAGAUGGGGAAACAUUGCAUGGGCCAAUGAUCAUGAGGUUCAAGCCUGGAAAGUAGAGAACCUGGAGAGCUGUUUCCAAAACGGUGGGGGCUCUAGCAUUUGGAAAAGUUAAGCUGACGAGGACAUUGAAUUCAGGCAAAUCUUAUUUGGACAUCCAUGGCGCAUGAAGGAAGUAAAAGAAGAUACAUGCAAGGGACGACACAUGCAUGAUUGGGGAAUUAAAGUUGGCUGCUGUUUGAAGUCUUCUAGGUGACCAUUCGACCAAGGGAGCUGUUAUUUCAUACUCUCAAGAUGCCCAUUCAACCGAAAUUAUUCUUUUCACAUUGUUGGGCAAAUGUUCACACAUUGUGGCUGUUCGGUUCAAGGUUUUCACACUACAGAAUGGCUGAUCAGUAACUCCUUAAUUGCUGGUCACUUUCCAGCAAUAGUUACAAUAUAAAUGAGCUUAUUUAAGUCCAUUAAGCGAAUCAAGCUGUUGACAUGCACCUUUCUCAGCUUCCAAGUCCAUUGUUCAUUCUAGAAGCUGUCCAUUCAAGCUCACAUUCAGCUGAAUGUUGUUAGCCUAAUUAAAUAAAUUCAUUUGCUUAGUUUUUAAGAAUGCAUGCGGCUAUUCGGCUAGCUUAGUCUUUGCUUAUAAAUAGUUGAAAAUUUCAUUUUGUAAAAAAAUUUUGAACCUUAAUGAAUUGCUGUCAAAUUGUUGAGAGAAUUCUUCUCUUGAAUUUCGUCCAAAAA